CUCUCUAGUGAGUUUCUGCAUUUCUGAGAGCCUUAAGCACCUUCUAAAGAAGAACUAGAUCUGGUUCAAGAAAAAGAAAAUGCAGCCAAAUCCUGGGAUUAAAACCUGCGCUUGCUCAUGCCCAGAACAGUGCUGGAUGCAGCCUGCUGUGCCCAGGAAGACAGCCAGCACCAGGUCACCAGCCCUGUGGAGAAUGACAGCUUUCAAGUCAGAAUGAGAGCUCCCCACAGAAAAUACAUCCAAGGAAAUCAAAGUUCCAAGAACUUGAAUUCAUGUCUGUCAGCUCUGGCAUUUCCAACCUGAAUGAACUUGUGCAGCCACCCAAAACUGAUCAUCUCAGCAGAGGCGCAACCAGGAGAGGCUCAGCUUUACUUUUAACAGCUCCUGGAAGAGUGAAGAGAGUCAGCAGCAGCACGAACGUGUGAAGGGGCUUGUGGCCCUGGCAGGUUUUGGUAGAUACUGCCUUGGAGGGAGGGGGUCUGGGCGUGUCUCUUGGGGUGGCAAUGCUACCACAAAGAUUGCAGGAGCCAGAAGCAGCGAGCGCACAGCACGUCAAACCCUCUGCCUCCCAUCUAGCACUACGCAAAGUCACUGCGUGGUGCUCCAAAGUUUUAAAUUCCCUCGCUGCAUAAGCGGCUUCACAGAAAAGGAAUCUACAGAGUUUCCUCUGGGUGUUUCCCAGUGUGACUCAUGAGCACUCUGCCCUCCUCCCAGGUGGGAAGGACCCGGAGUGGAUAACAUGUGAUUAAAUUCUGUGUCAACGAAAGGUGAAAUUGUGUUUAUUAGACAAUUUCAUUUCCAAAUGAAACCCGCGAAAUGGUCUCUUCCUCUUACUCGAGUGAAAUAAGACAUGGCAGAAACUAAACAGUAUUUUCGCUUU